GGGAGGGCAGGCUGCUAAUUCUGUCCCACUGACCUCUGAUUUACUGCCAUGAAGCUCACUUAUGUUUGUCUCAGAGGCUGUGUUUACACUCCACUAAUAACUCAACAUUACUAAUAACAAAAACUACAUUGUCCUGUGUUCUUCCCUGUCUUUCCCUUCCUUCCUUCGUGUUGCAUGUUUGUCUCCCUCUGUCUGUGUUCAGCUGACCAGUGUGCUGCUCAUCAGCCAGAGUGUCCUCACCUGCUGCUCCACCUCACCUGUUGCUCCUCUUGACGUCAGUGAAGUGGAGGCCGUGUUGAUUGACAGCAACAAUACAGGGGGCGUAGAAGGUGGUGGAGCUGCUGCUGUGGAUGUAGAAGAACGAGGAGCCGAACAUGGGGAACGCACUGAUCAGGCCUGCACAAAGACAGAAUUUAACAAGAGUGAGCGCUCACUGUCACAUUUUUAUUCUUUGGGGGAGACAGACGGACAGACGAAAUGAAAACAAUACCAGAUGGACCGGAGUGGAGGGAAUGACUGGAGCCCUCUCCUUCUUCCUCCCUCUCUAGUUCUGUCACUCUUGUUUGGAGCAUUUUCACUUUGGCAUUACUUUUGAUGAAUUACGCACCUGUAGAGUUUAAUGACUGUGUCUUUCACGUACUGACAAAAAUCUGUCCGCUGACAGACAAACACCUGAAAAAACAGAA